rfam:Basidiobolus meristosporus CBS 931.73 K493scaffold_371, whole genome shotgun sequence.
GACAAUAUGGCCGAGUGGUUAAGGCGUAUGACUAGAAAUCAUAUGGGCUCUGCCCGCGCAGGUUCAAAUCCUGCUGUUGUCG